rnacentral:rRNA from 1 species
UACGAAGGGGACUAGCGUUGUUCGGAAUCACUGGGCGUAAAGCGCACGUAGGCGGCGGACACAGUCAGACGUGAAAUUCCUGGGCUCAACCUGGGGGCUGCGUUUGAUACAUGUUCGCUUGAGUUCGGAAGAGGGUCGUGGAAUUCCCAGUGUAGAGGUGAAAUUCGUAGAUAUCGGGAGGAACACCUGUGGCGAAAGCGGCUCACUGGACCAUAACUGACGCUGAUGCACGAAAGCUGGGGGAGCAAACAGG